UCCAGACUCCUACGGGAGGCAGCAGUGGGGAAUAUUGCGCAAUGGGGGCAACCCUGACGCAGCAACGCCGCGUGAUUGAAGAAGGCCUUCGGGUUGUAAAGAUCUUUAAUCAGGGACGAAAAAUGACGGUACCUGAAGAAUAAGCUCCGGCUAACUACGUGCCAGCAGCCGCGGUAAUACGUAGGUGGCAAGCGUUAUCCGGAUUUACUGGGUGUAAAGGGCGUGUAGGCGGGACUGCAAGUCAGAUGUGAAAAUUAUGGGCUCAACCCAUAACCUGCAUUUGAAACUGUAGUUCUUGAGUGAUGGAGAGGCAGGCGGAAUUCCGUGUGCAGCGGUGAAAUGCGUAGAUAUACGGAGGAACACCAGUGGCGAAGGCGGCCUGCUGGACAUUAACUGACGCUGAGGCGCGAAAGCGUGGGGAGCAAACAGGAUUAGAUACCCCCGUAUA
rnacentral:rRNA from 1 species